rnacentral:rRNA from 1 species
ACGAACGCUGGCGGCGUGCUUAACACCUGCAAGUCGCACGGAAAGGCCCUGCUUGCCGGGUACUCGAGUGGCGAACGGGUGAGUAACACGUGGGUGAUCUGCCCUGCACUUCGGGAUAAGCCUGGGAAACUGGGUCUAAUACCGGAUAGGAGCCAUUUUUAGUGUGAUGGUUGGAAAGUUUUUUCGGUGUAGGAUGAGCUCGCGGCCUAUCAGCUUGUUGGUGGGGUAAUGGCCUACCAAGGCGGCGACGGGUAGCCGGCCUGAGAGGGUGGACGGCCACAUUGGGACUGAGAUACGGCCCAGACUCCUACGGGAGGCAGCAGUGGGGAAUAUUGCACAAUGGGCGCAAGCCUGAUGCAGCGACGCCGCGUGGGGGAUGACGGCCUUCGGGUUGUAAACUCCUUUCGCUAGGGACGAAGCUUUUUGUGACGGUACCUAGAUAAGAAGCACCGGCUAACUACGUG